GUGAAUCAUCGAAUCUUUGAACGCAAAUUGCACUCCCUGGGAUUCCGGGGAGGAUGCCUGUUUGAGGGUCGUUAGAAUAAAAAAUCGAUGCGUCUCUCUUUUUUUUAAGUGUGAUCGCGUCGGAAUUGAGCCGUCUUUCAAAUGUUAAUUCAUGUCAAAGUUGCUUUAAAUUCAUCCAUCCGGUACGAUUAAGCGUAUUUAAGAUCAAUUUUACUUGAGAACGCGCGAUGACGUACCAUGUCGUGUAUUAC
rnacentral:misc_RNA from 1 species